rnacentral:rRNA from 1 species
GACGAACGCUGGCGGCGUGCCUAAUACAUGCAAGUUGAGCGCUGAAGGUUGGUACUUGUACCAACUGGAUGAGCAGCGAACGGGUGGGUAACGCGUGGGGAAUCUGCCUUUGAGCGGGGGACAACAUUUGGAAACGAAUGCUAAUACCGCAUAAAAACUUUAAACACAAGUUUUAAGUUUGAAAGAUGCAAUUGCAUCACUCAAAGAUGAUCCCGCGUUGUAUUAGCUAGUUGGUGAGGUAAAGGCUCAUCAAGGCGAUGAUACAUAGCCGACCUGAGAGGGUGGUCGGCCACAUUGGGACUGAGACACGGCCCAAACUCCUACGGGAGGCAGCAGUAGGGAAUCUUCGGCAAUGGACGAAAGUCUGACCGAGCAACGCCGCGUGAGUGAAGAAGGUUUUCGGAUCGUAAAACUCUGUUGGUAGAGAAGAACGUUGGUGAGAGUGGAAAGCUCAUCAAGUGACGGUAACUACCCAGAAAGGGACGGCUAACUACGUG